AAGAAGUUUAGCCUGCCCGGUGGUUUAAACGGCGGCGGUAUUUUGACUGUGCUAAGGUAGCACAAUCACUUGUUUCUUAAUUGGUAACUGGAAUGAACGGUUGAACUGGCCUAGUGAGUGUGUGCGGUUAAACAGAAAGUUAAAGUCGGGGUAAGAAUUCUUCGAUAUUUUAGGGGACGAUAAGACCCUACAAGCUUGAUAAAGAUAGAAAUGACUUUGUAUUUUGAGUUACUUUGUUUUACUGGGGUGGUAUUGGUAUUUUAACUACCAGUUAAAUCAGGAUCCUUUAAAUAUAGAUGAAAUGGGAAAGUUACUUUAGGGGUAACAGUGCAAUAUUUUUGGAGAGGUCUUAUCGAUAGGUAUGGUUGCAACCUCGAUGUUGAAUUAAAAUUUCUACGUGAAGCAGAAAGUAUAGUAGAGGGUUUGUUCAACCUUUAAAUUUUUACAUGAUCUGAGUCCAAACACGGA
rnacentral:rRNA from 1 species